rnacentral:rRNA from 1 species
UACGGAAGGGGCUAGCGUUGCUCGGAAUCACUGGGCGUAAAGCGCACGUAGGCGGCUUCUUAAGUCAGGGGUGAAAUCCUGGAGCUCAACUCCAGAACUGCCUUUGAUACUGGGAGGCUCGAGUCCGGGAGAGGUGAGUGGAACUGCGAGUGUAGAGGGUGAAAUUCGUAGAUAUUCGACAAGAACACCAGUGGCGAAGGCGGCUC